CAAAAGUGAAGUCAGUUUUUUUCCCCCCACGAAGAAAGGUUGCUUUAUUAGUUGUGCAAAUGAACGUGUUCGCUAAUUCCACAGAGGAAUAGGCGUGCUAGCCUACCUCAUGUCUUCGCAUAUAAACCGUAGGCCUAAGUGUUUACAUUUAGCGAAGAAUUUGACCACGAAAAGCCUGUGUUGGUUACAUUUUUCGUACUAAAUCAGUCAACAGAUUCAUCACCAGCUUUCCCAGUCACCCCAUUUCCCAGCCCAUCACAUCACCCAGCCCUACUCCCAGUACCAACUGAAGAAGUGAAAGUAGAUGAAAGGACAGAAAGCCGCAGACCUGUAAGAGAAGGUCAUCUCUGAUUUUGUUGAGAGAGGAGAGGUGCACUCUGGCUUCUAAAAUGGCCUCCAGGGUGUCCCAUUCCGUGGUCUCCUGGUGGUCGUGUUCCUGCUCCUCCCUCAAGCCUGCAGGACUCUGAGGGAUCUCUGGGAGUCCUCACUAAACUGAGAAGAGUGGCUGGCCCUGGAAAAGCUCGUUUGUUUUUAUUGUUUUUUAUGCAGAAUUUCUCAUGUUUUGAGCUCAUAAGCAGAUGUUUUUCAUCCAGAGUGCCUUGCAGUAACGGCUGAUUAACACCAGUAUUGAUACAAACAAAAAUGCAUUGUAGCACAAACUAAACAGAGUGUUUCUCUCUGUAAACCAAUAAUGCAGUAAAAGGCAUAUUAAUCCUCAGAUUAAAGCCUCCUUUGCUAUUG